UACGAAGGGUGCAAGCGUUACUCGGAAUUACUGGGCGUAAAGCGUGCGUAGGUGGUUCGUUAAGUCUGCUGUGAAAGCCCUGGGCUCAACCUGGGAAUGGCAUUGGAAACUGGCGACCUAGAGUGCGGUAGAGGGCAGUGGAAUUCCCGGUGUAGCAGUGAAAUGCGUAGAGAUCGGGAGGAACAUCUGUGGCGAAGGCGACUGCCUGGACCAGCACUGACACUGAGGCACGAAAGCGUGGGGAGCAAACAGG
rnacentral:rRNA from 1 species